UACGGAGGGGGCUAGCGUUGUUCGGAAUUACUGGGCGUAAAGGGCUCGUAGGCGGCCAACUAAGUCGGAUGUGAAAUCCCCAGGCUUAACCUGGGAACUGCAUCCGAUACUGGAUGGCUUGAAUUCGGGAGAGGGAUGCAGAAUUCCAGGUGUAGCGGUGAAAUGCGUAGAUAUCUGGAGGAAUACCGGUGGCGAAGGCGGCAUCCUGGACCGAGAUUGACGCUGAUGAGCGAAAGCUAGGGGAGCAAACGGG
rnacentral:rRNA from 1 species